ACCACAACACCCAAACCUACGAAACUCCACAGCCACAACCACAAUCACCCACCCCACCACCACGGCAACCCUCCAGCACCGCAAUGAAUCUGACCCACAACGAAAAUCCAUGGCAACAACAGCAAACCCACAAUGAAGACACACCCGCCGCCGAUCUACUGCUCAACCCACCACGGCAACCCUCCAACCCAAAUUGAACCCACAAAAUCAAAUCCACCAUGGCAAACCUCCACAACAGCAAACCCACCGCGCCGAUCUACUGCACCACGACCCAGACCCACUACGACCCAGAUUCACAAACCACCACCCCGUCGCCACCAGAUCCGAGGGCUUUCAUCGCACAUGAAAAGCGCAUGAGAGGGAACAAAUGUCGUUGCUUAAUUCAGCUGCUCAAAUAGUUCUUGGCCUCGUCGUUCUCAUCAUCACACUCCUUCUCGAACUUCCCAGUUUACACCUUCGAUGGAGUAGUCUUUAAAGAAGAUAACAAAUCCGGACUUGGUGUGCCAAGGUCAGGUCAUUGAAGCUCUAUCCCAAAAAUUACCUCAAGCUUACUAAGGAAUGGAUAUUGAAGCUCUAGCUGCAGCCCGUGCUAUUGAGCUUGGGACAGAACUUGGUAUUACCCACAUUGUUUUGGAAGGUGAUUUGGGGAUGAUUGUUAAAGCUCUGGCCGAUGAGGUUUUUUGCUUGGCUUACCAUGCCCCUUUGAUACAAGAUGCAAAGAUAAUGUCUCGAUCUUUCUCUCAAUUGUUUUACUCACACUUUAAGACAAUAAGGCUGCUUAUACUCUGGAUAGAUUCUCUAUUAAUGUGCCAGAUUUUCUUGUAUAGAUAGAGGAUGUUCUACCACUAUUUUAUUAUGUACUUCAGGUUGAUAUAGCCGCUCUUUCUUAAUUAAAA